UAGAGCCAUAUACAGCACCCAGCAUUUAUUCUUGCUUCGUUUAGGUUUACAAUACAUGGAAGCUAACAUUAUUAUUAAGAAAACUUCUGUUUUUCCAGGGCCUUAGAAAGCUUUUCCAAUACUCGAUCGUUUAAGCUUACGGUUUUUUGUUUUUUUGUUUUGUUUUUUUAAGAAAAAUGAGGGUCUCACUUUGUUGCUCAGGCUGAUCUCGAGCUCCUGGCCUCAAGUGAUCCUCCCGCUUUUGGCCUCCCAAACUGAUGGGAUUACAACGUGGAGCCACCGUGUUAAACUCUUAGAUUUGACUGCUACAAAGGUAUAAAUGUGGAACUCCAUAUAUCAGUGGGUUCUGCCCCACUUCUUCCUCCCAGGAAUUCUCCAUCCCAGCCUGCUGCUCCUGUCUUGCACCGGGGAACAAACAUGUAUCCUGGAUGAAAAUAAACCAAGUCUAUUGAAACUGCAACCCAAGACAUUCAGAAGAGACAAGGCUACAGUGAAUCUGGAAACUUUGCACGUGUUUGGAUGUAUUGAUUGCCUUAACUGGCAGCCCUUUGCACUGCCAGCUUCCCUCAAUUACAUGAGGAACCACGAGGGGGCAAUGUCUUCCCGAGCAAUAAUAGCUGAGUGGUGGUCUUAGGACCCCGUGGUGGCCCAUGAUGCUAGCACCGUGUCUUUGGCCAUUCUUGCCUGUCAUGGAGCAUACUCCACAGAAGGGCAUGGUCUUCUUGGAGCCUGGCAUGGGCCCAACAAAAAUGACAAUGUAGUCAAUAGUUCCACUCAGACCUCACUUAGGAGCAGGUGGACUAUGUUGUGUGAUAUCAGGAUGCCCGGAGAACCUCUCCUAUCCCCACCCAGGGAAGCAUGGCUUAAUUCCAAAUAAAGAAUCUGAUUUCUUUGUCUUUAAGCCAAGCCAGGACUUUGUCCAUUGUUAAAAGUCAAAAAUCUCUGGGAUAAGAAACAAAAAUAAGUUCCAGGUGGGGCACGGUGGCUCAUGCCUGUAAUCCCAGCACUUUGGGAGGCCGAGGUGAGCCCAACACCUGAUGUCAGGAGUUCAAGACCAGCCUGGCUAACAUGGUGAAACCCCGUUUCUACUAAAAAUACAAAAAAUUAGCUGGGUGUGGUGGCGCACGCCUAUAAUAGCAGCUACUUGGGAGGCUGAGGCAGGAGAAUUGCUUGAACCCGGGAGGCAGAGGUUGCAGUUAGCUGAGAUUGCACCAUUGCACUCCAGCUUGGGCAACAAGAGUGAAACUCUGUCACAAACAAAAAUAAGUUCCAGGAGAGGAUCCUUGUCUGGCUUAUUCACUGUUGUAUUCCCAGCAUCUAGACAGUGCCCAACACAUAGGAGGCACUCAGUUAUUUUUUAAUAAAUGAGCAUUUUAAGUCUGAUGGGUUACUGAUUCUCAGGCCUGAAUGUUAUUACUGGAUUUUUCCAAGAUCCAGCAGGAAGGAGUAAAUCAGUGGAGAUGUCUUAGAACAGAUAGUCACAGCAAUGGCAUUAGGCAGGGUCUUGGCAGUGUUUUUUUUGUUUUGUUUUUUGUUUUCUGAGUCUCGCUCUGUGGCCCAGGUGACAUUGUUUAAGCAAAUGUCUCGCCCAGGUGAGAACUGUUCAAGCAAUUCUCCUGCAUCAGCUUCCUCAGUAGCUGGGACUACAGGUGCACACAACCACACCUGGCUAAUGUUUUUGUAUUUUUAGUAGAGACAGAGUUUCCUCAUGUUGGCCAGGCUGGUUGGUAUUGAACUCCCAAACUCAGGUGAUCCACCCACCUCAGCCUCCCAAAAUGCUGGGAUUACAGGCAUGAGCCACCAGCCUGGCAGUGGUCUUUAGUCAUGAUUUUGCAGGGGGGACCCUAGAUAGAGACCUUGUGCAGAAUGGAACAACUGAUAAGGUUUCAAACAGUAAAAGAUAAAAUCCCACCAUUGAGGCUGGGCACAGUGCCUCAUGCCUGUAAUCCUAGCACUUUGGGAGGCCAAGGUGGGCAGAUCACCUGAGGUCAGGAGUUUGAGACCAGCCUGGCAUGGUGAAACCCCAUUUUUGAAAAUACAAAAAUUAGCCAGGCGUGGUGGUGGGUGCCUGUAGUCCCAGCUACUCGGGAGGCUGAGGCAGGAGAAUUGCUUGAACCCGAGAGGCAGAGAUUGCUGUGAACCAAGAUCACACCACUGCACUCCAGCCUGGGCGACAGAGCGAGACUCCAUCUCAAAAAAAAAAAAAAAAAAAAAAAAUCACACCAUUGAAUUUGACAUAUCAGACAAUAAAAUCGACACUGAUGCAGGGAUGGUUAUACUAUAUAGUCAGUGGUGAGAGUGACAUUUAGGGUGUUUUCAGAAAAACAUAUGGGGUUGGGAUAAUAUGUCAAGAAAAGAGAGAUUCCUGCUUUUUGUCCUUUUCAUGAAGAAUAGUUUAGAGUUAUUUGAAAGAGCAAUAAUGUAUUACCAAUAAAACUCAAGGAAAAUCUGUAAACAGACUUUUGCUAUUUAUAAAACUUUGUGAUUGAAGGCAAAGAGUUUGAGUUUGUGUGGGGGAGGAAAAUGUACCUUCAAUCGGUAUAAAUGAUAAUUACAGCUUGUUUAUGACUUUAAAGAAAGAUUCCAAAGUAAUAUCUCCUCAGUAGCAAUAGUUCCCAGGCAUCCUGAGAAUUAUAAGACCACAAAGGGAUUUUUUUUUUGAGACGGAAUUUCGCUGUAACCAAGGGAUUUUAAAUCCUGGAAUAGUUGUGCUGAAGACCAGAAAAGUCUGCUUUCUCCCCAGCCUAACACUACCUACCAUAUUGCCUGACCUUGGAGGUUACCUUGAAAGGGUAAUAUUGUAUACACCUGUAGUUUUUUACUACUCACUGCUGUUUCUCUGGCAGUGUUCAUUUAGAGGCUUGCCAUAAGAAAUCCAAACCUAUAAUUAUGUCUUAAAUGUUUGCCUUUGGGAACUGCAGACAUUAAAGGUCUAUUUUGAGGCGAUUUGCAUGGCAUGGGCUUUGUACCUAUGUUAGCUUUGCAGCAGAAAGCUGCAGUAUCUACCAUGUGUGUUGUGAUUGUCUAUUAACCCUUCGGCUGAGCCAAAGAAGUUAUUGAGGCCAGAGGGGCUGUAUUUUAUUGGUUUUUGUCAUCCUUGACACCUCUCUCUCCCUUAACCUCGUGCCUGCUCACCUCCAGCUCCUCUCCAUCUUCCCCUGAUUUUUUUAUUAAUUUAUCAUUGUGGCAAAAGACACAUAACAUAAAAUUUACCUUCUUAACCACUUUGGUUUUUUGGGGUUUUUUUUGAGAUGGAGUGUUGCUCUGUUGCCCAGGCUGGAGUGCAAUGGUGCCAUCUUGGCUCACCACAACCUCCACCUCCCAGGUUCAAGAGAUUCUCCUGCUUCAGCCUCCUGAGUAGCUGGAACUACAGGCAUGUGCCACCAUGUCCAGCUAAUUUUUGUAUUUUUAGUAGAGAUGAGGUUUCACUAUGUUGACCAGGCUGGGUUUUCUUUUUUUCUUUUCUUUUUUUUUUUUUUAGAGAUGGGCCUUCACUGUGUUGCCCAGGCUGGUCUCAGACUCCUGGGUUCAAGUGAUCCUCCCACCUCAGCCUCAGGCUGGAGUACAGUAGCAUGAUCAUAACUCACUGCAGCCUCGAACUCCUGGGUCCAAGCAAUCUUCCUGCCUCGGCUUCCCGAACAGCUGGGACUGCAGACUCUUGCCACCACACCCAGAUAAUUUUUAAAUUUUUUUCCCAGGCUGGUCUCAAACUCCUGCCUUCAAGCAAUCCUCCUGCCUCAGCCUCCCAAAGUGCUGAGAUUACAGGCAUAAACCAUUUCACCUAAGCCUUCCAUUUGAACCAUUUUUAAGUGUAGUGUUAAGUGUAUUCACAUGGUUGUGCCACAGCCCCCUGACUUUUACCUCCUAAAGAAUUCUGAGGUUCACUGGCUUCCCUCUGAUCAUGAUCAGAGGCCCACAUGGAGGAGAAUCCAGGUGUUUGGCUUACAGCCCCAGCUGAGCUCUGCAGACAACCAGUAUCAAUUUGCCAGCCCUCUGAGUGAACUAUCUUGAGAGUGGUUGCUCCAGCCCUAGUUGAGCUGCCGCAGCUGAUACCAUCUGGAAGAGAGAUGAGCUUUCUGCAGCAAACCCUGCCCAAAUUGCAAAAUUGUUAGCAAAAAAAAAAGUGAAUGCUGUUGUUUUAAGUCACCACAUUUCAGUGUGGUUUGUAAUACAGCAAUAUAUAACUGAAACAUAAUUACAUACCUAGAAGUGGGAUAAUAGAAAUCAACAGGGUGAUUCCUACUGUAAUAGAAACCUAAAACACAUGGCAGGGGCUUUGGGAUCAAGUGGAGGAUGGAAGCUGGAAGAACCUUGAGGAGUCUGUUAUUGACAAAUACUAUUAGAGAACAGUGAGUGGGGCUGGGCGUGGUGGCUCACACCUAUAAUCCCAGCACUUUGGGAGGCAGAGGUGGGCCGAUCACCUGAGGUCAGGAAUUCGAGACCAGCCUGGUCAACAUGGUGAAACCCUGUCUCUACUAAAAAUACCAAAAUUAGCCAGGCGUGGUGACGCGUGCCUGUAAUCCUAGCUACUGGGGAGGCUGAGGCAGGAGAAUUGCUUGAACCCAGGAGGCGGAAGUUGCAGUGAGCCACGAUCGCGCCACUGCCCUCCAGCCUGGGUGACAGAGAGAGACUCUGUCUCAAAAUAAAAUAAAAUAAAGAACAGUGAGGAUACUGUUAUUGCUGGCUGGAGAAAAGGGGGAUUGAUUUAGGUAUUGGAAAAACAAUUAGCUAAACUACUCUGCAGUUAUGUGAAAGCUAGAGAAGGUACCUAGUGAACAUGUGGAUCUGGCUAUGGAGAUUUCUGGAUAGAAUGGUGAAAGGGUGGAAUGGUUCCUUUUGCAUGCCUGUGAUAUAGUACCAGAGAAGUGCAGUGAGCUAAAAAAGAAACUGUUCCAUUUUUCAUCAGAAUUUAGAAGAAGUAAUUAAAGAAGCCAGGACUUGCAGGAUUUGAAAUAAAACUACUUUUCAUUCCUAGUUCUCCAGAGGACAAAACUCUCAAAAUAAGAAAUGGCCUAGGGGCAAAAGUCAAAUCCCAGGUACUAUCAGGAAAACAUAGUCAUAAGUAAAGUUCAAGACAACGACAGGUGCAGCAGCUCACACCUGCAAUCCCAGUGCUUUGGGAAGCCAAGGUGGGAGGAUUACUUGAGGCCAAGAGUUUGGGAUCAACUUGGGCAACAUAGCAAGACUCCUCUGCAAAAAAAAAAGAAAAAAAGAAAGAAAAAAAUUUUUUUGAGACAGAAUCUCGUUCUGUCACCUGGUUGGGGUGCAGUGGCAUGAUCAUGGCUCACUAAAACCUCUGUCUCCUGGGUUCAAGCAAUUCUCAUGCCUCAGCCUCCCAGGUAGCUGGGAUUAUAGGUACACACCACCACGCUUGGCUAAUUUUUGUAUUUUUAGUAAAGAUGAGGUUUCACCAUGUUAGCCGGGCUGGUCUCAAACUCCUGGCCUUAAGUGAUCUGCCCACCUUAGCCUCCCAAAGUGCUGGGAUUACAGGUAUGAGCCACCAAAUCUGGCCUCUGCAAAAAAUUUAAAAAUUAGCUGAACAUAGUGGCACAUGCCUAUAAUUCCAGCUAUUUUGGAGGCUGAGGCAGGAAGAUCACUUGAGCCCAGGAGUUUGAGGGUACAGUGAAUUAUGAUCAUGCCACUGCACUACAGCUUGGGCAACAGAGCAAGAACCUGACUCUAAAAAAAAAAAAAAAAUGCCCAGGUGUGGUGGCUCAUGCCUGUAAUCCCAGCACUUUGGGAGGCUGAGGUGGGCAGAUCACGAGGUCAGAAGAUCGAGACCAUCCUGGCUAACAUGGUGAAACCCCGUCUUUACUAAAAAAAAAUACAAAAAAACUAGCCAGGCGUGGUGGUGGGCACCUGUAGUCCCAGCUACUCAGGAGGCUGAGGCAGGAGAAUGACAUGAACCUGGGAGGCGGAACUUGCGGUAAGCCGAGAUGGCGCCACUGCACUCCAGACUGGGGUACAGAGAGAGACUCCGUCUCGGGGGGAAAAAAAAAGAUAAGGAUGUAGCUAGAAGACACUGGGUAGGCAGCUUCUACAAUGGACCCCAGUGAUCCUUCUCUCCCGGUAUUCAAACCCUCUGUAAUCCCUUCCUUCAUGUGGGCUGGACUUUGCAACUUGCUCUUAAGGAAUACAGUGUGGCAAAAGUGAUGGAUAGCACCUCCAAGACUAGAUUUAAAAAGAGACGAUGGCUCAUGUCUUACAUGCCCUCUCUUGCUCUCUCACUUGCUGCCUUUGACCUGCCUUAUGGAGACGCUCAUGUGGCAAGGAACGAAGGCCUCCAGCCAAGAGCCACCAAGGAACUGGUUUUCAGUCCAACAACCAGCAAGGAGCUGAAUCCUGCCAACUACUGCAUGAGUAGACCUGGAAAUAGAGUUUCCCUAAGUGGAGCCUUCACGUGAAACCUAUUAUGGACUGAAUGCUAGUGUCCCUCUGAAAUUCACAUAAAAUCCUAACCUCCAUUGUGAUAGUAUUAGGUAAGGCAUUUGGGAGGUAAUUAGGUUUAGAUGAGGUCACAAGUGUGGGGCCCCCAUAAUGGGGUUGGUGCCCUUAUAAGAGGAGGAAGAGGCUGGGUGUGGUGGCUGACGCCUGGAAUCCCAACACUUCGGGAGGCCAAGGCAGGAGGAUUGCUUGAAGCCAAGAGUUUGAGACCAGCCUGGACAACACAGUGAGACACCCAUUUCUAUGAAUAAAUAAAUAAAUUAGCCAGGCACGUGGCUCACUCCUGUCAUCCCAACACUUUGGGAGGCCAAGGCAGGAGAUUUCCUUGGGACCAGGAGUUCAAGAUCAGCCUGGGCAACAUAGUGGGACCCUGUCUCUACAGAAAAAUUAGCCAGGCAUAUUGGUGUGAGUCUGUAGUCCCAACUACUACUCCCAAAGCUGAGGAAUAAGGAUUGUUUUAGCCUAGGAGUUCAAGGUUACAGUGAACUAUAAUUGUACCACUGUACUCCAGCCUGGGAGACAGCAAAACCCGGUUUGUGUGUGUGUGUGUGUGUGUGUGUGUGUGUGUGUGUGUGACGAGAACCAAAGCUCCUUCUCUCCCUGCCAUGUGAGGACACAGUGAGAAGGUGGCUGACUGCAAGCCAGGAAGAGGGUCCUCAUGAGGAAAUGAAUUGACUGGCACCUUGAUCUUGUGGCACCUUGAUCUUGGACUUCCCAGCCUCCAUAACUGUCAGAAAUAAAUGUCUGUUGUUUUA